GCGCAAACUACUUAGGCGGAGUUGUCCUUGACAUUUUAAUAAACUAACAAAUUAGUCUCUACAAUUAGAAGCACCGUUUAUUCCCCAUUAAUUUUAAUAUAAAUAGUCAAAAUGUCCUUUACUAUAUUUUCAAUACAAAACAACUAAGCUCCUAAGGUUCAGUAAAACCUACAGUUUAGUCCCUUGAUUUAAACUUUAUAUUCUUUUUUUUUACAAAUUGAUCCUUAAAUAUUAUAACUAUUUAUGAAUAAGGCCCUAUAUUUUUACAAAUUGAUCCUAAAUAUUCAACCCAUAUAGAGUCUUUUAGUCCCUUGACUAAAUGUAUUUAAAUGAGAAUUAUUUAAUGAUUUGUUAUAUCAUAUAUAAAAUAUAAUAUAAUAUUUUAUUGAAGGCUUAGUUUAUCCUUCAAAUCCCCUCUUGCUUAGUUCAUUUCGGCUCUCAAUCGACAACGACACACCGAUGCCCUGGCCACAUUGGCUCUCAGUUCCUCUUCCCGAUUUCUCUAUUCACCUUUCCUCACAAUGACGCCAUAACCAUAGAGCCCUACCUUCAUCUUCAUCUUCAUCUUUACACUCUCAAUCUCUCACUACCUCUCUAGUCUCCAUCUCGCUUCACUCAUUUUGAUAUUCUAAUUUAUAUCCAAGCUUUCCAAGAGAGGCUCUGAAGUUUCAAUCAUCCCGU
rnacentral:misc_RNA from 1 species